AUUUCAGAGGAUACUUGGCAGCAAGUCUUGGCUUUCAGCCGCUGUGUACAUGAAAAUCUGGAAGGGUAUGAUCCCGAAGGUGCUUGGCCUGUUCUAAUUGAUGACUUCGUCGAGCACAUGUACAGGCGGUCAGGAUCUAAGAAAGUCUCAAAGUUAUGUUGUAAUUGUGGAGACUCACAAUCACAGCCAGGUGUAUUUGAAGAUCCUCUUUCUGGAUUGAAGUUUUUCCCUGGUUUGAAGAGGAAAUUACCUGAGGACAUGCAAAUGGACGGCAUUGUGUCUCUGAGUGAUCCAAGAACCGG
rnacentral:misc_RNA from 1 species